UGAUGAAACCUCCGUAAUGGAGAUGGAGGAACAGUGCAAACCGCCCUAAGGUGCUAUAGUCAAAAGCUAUGGUAUUGAGCGUUAGGGGAAAAGGCAGAGCAUGACUCUGUCAGGU
rnacentral:ncRNA from 1 species